UGGGCGACUGCUGCCGAAAGGUAGAGGAAAGUCCAUGCUCGCACCGCCUGCGAUGGCGGUAGUGAUUGCGCUGGGGGAAGCGAUAACCCCAGGUGCGCGGGAGCGCGCAACGGCGGGCCAAUCCCUGUUUCAGGAGGCGGCCCCUAAGGUGCCACAGAGACGAGCUUGGCGGCGACGUCAAGAUGAAACGCGGCAAACCCCACAAGCGAGAAACCCAAAUUUGGUAGGGGAAGCGCCCAAUGCGAAUUGAAGCGGCGGGGGCCGGCGAAAGCCGAGAUAAAUUGUCGUCCUCGACAUAACAUGGCUUAUAG
rnacentral:RNase_P_RNA from 1 species